rfam:Ovis aries breed Texel chromosome 3, whole genome shotgun sequence.
UCCCCAAUGUCUCAGCAGGUAAAGAAUCUGCCUGAAAUGCAGAAAACACAAGAGAUGCAAGUUCAAUCCCUGGGUGGGGAA